rnacentral:rRNA from 1 species
AACGAACGCUGGCGGCAGGCCUAACACAUGCAAGUCGAGCGGACCUUUCGGGGUCAGCGGCGGACGGGUGAGUAACGCGUGGGAAUAUGCCCUUCUCUACGGAAUAGUCCUGGGAAACUGGGGGUAAUACCGUAUACGCACUUGGGGGGAAAGAUUUAUCGGGGAAGGAUUAGCCCGCGUUGGAUUAGGUAGUUGGUGGGGUAAUGGCCUACCAAGCCGACGAUCCAUAGCUGGUUUGAGAGGAUGAUCAGCCACACUGGGACUGAGACACGGCCCAGACUCCUACGGGAGGCAGCAGUGGGGAAUCUUAGACAAUGGGGGCAACCCUGAUCGAGCCAUGCCGCGUGAGUGAUGAAGGCCUUAGGGUUGUAAAGCUCUUUCAGCUGGGAAGAUAAUGACGGUACCAGCAGAAGAAGCCCCGGCUAACUCCGUG